AUACUUAACGUGGCAGGGGUGAUACCAUGAUCAGGAAGGUAGUUUUUCGUGGCAGAGACUUAUCUAUUGCACUCUGGAUGUGCUGACCCCUGCAAUUUCCCCAAAUGUGUGAAACUCAGCAGCAUAAUUUGUGGUAGUGGGGGGACUGUGUUCAUGCUGUCCCCUG